rnacentral:rRNA from 1 species
GACGAACGCUGGCGGCGUGCUUAACACAUGCAAGUCGAACGGAAAGGCCCUGCUUUUGUGGGGUGCUCGAGUGGCGAACGGGUGAGUAACACGUGAGUAACCUGCCCUUGACUUUGGGAUAACUUCAGGAAACUGGGGCUAAUACCGGAUAGGAGCUCCUGCUGCAUGGUGGGGGAUGGAAAGAUUCGGCGGUGGGGGAUGGACUCGAGGCUUAUCAGCUUGUUGGUGGGGUAGUGGCUUACCAAGGCUUUGACGGGUAGCCGGCCUGAGAGGGUGACCGGCCACAUUGGGACUGAGGUACGGCCCAGACUCCUACGGGAGGCAGCAGUGGGGAAUAUUGCACAAUGGGCGGAAGCCUGAUGCAGCAACGCCGCGUGCGGGAUGACGGCCUUCGGGUUGUGAACCGCUUUCGCCUGUGACGAAGCGUGAGUGACGGUAAUGGGUAAAGAAGCACCGGCUAACUACGUG